rnacentral:rRNA from 1 species
GAUGAACGCUAGCGAUAGGCCUAACACAUGCAAGUCGAGGGGCAUCACAUGAAGUAGCAAUACGGAUGGUGGCGACCGGCGCACGGGUGAGUAACACGUAUGCAACCUGCCUUCAACAAGGGGAUAACCCGUUGAAAGACGGACUAAUACCCUAUAACACAGGGGUCCCGCAUGGGAAUAUUUGUUAAAGAUUUAUCGGUUGAAGAUGGGCAUGCGUUCCAUUAGCUGGUUGGUGGGGUAACGGCCCACCAAGGCAACGAUGGAUAGGGGAACUGAGAGGUUUAUCCCCCACACUGGUACUGAGACACGGACCAGACUCCUACGGGAGGCAGCAGUGAGGAAUAUUGGUCAAUGGACGCAAGUCUGAACCAGCCACGUCGCGUGAAGGAAGACGGCCCUACGGGUUGUAAACUUCUUUUAUACGGGAAUAAAGUGCCCCACGCGUGGGGUUUUGCAUGUACCGUAUGAAUAAGGAUCGGCUAACUCCGUG